CGGGGCGUAGCUCAGCCUGGUAGAGCAUCUGCUUUGGGAGCAGAGGGUCGUGGGUUCAAAUCCUGUCGCCCCGACCA
rnacentral:tRNA from 3 species